GAUCACCAAACUUAAUGUUUUUAACAUUUUAAAACCUUUAUAUUGUUAAAAACAUCGAGUUUACUGAUUUUGAAUUAUGCUUAAUUGAUUUUCCUAGUUAGUUUUUUCAAUUAAAAGGGCUGAAAUGCGCCUUAAAAACCAUCGUUCAACAGGCUGAACUGUGCCUUUAAAACAGCUAGAAUUUGGAAAAAACAACUACAAUUUCCUCGACACUUUGAAGACUUAAAUAUAUGACCGUUUUUGUGUUAAUCAGCCGGCCUGCUUGGAAUCCAUUGAAAGUUCAUUGUGAAGUGUUUUUUUUACUAAGGAAGCGGUCAUUAUUUAUGGCGGGGAGUGGCACCGAAGAGAAAAGGGUUGGGUAAACAAAAUUUUGAGUGAGUAAAAGGUUGGGUAAAUAAAAAAGAAAACAACUGAAGGGUUGGGUGAUAAAAAUUUAUUGUCAUUUCCAAAGCAUGACUCACUGAAAUAUUGGACACUGACAAGCAACAGUCAUCAAUAUGGCAAUAUGGCAAAUAUGGCAAGAUGUCAACAGUCAUAUGUCAAUACAAUAUGUGAAUCAAUCAGAGUCACUAUAUCUUGAUAAUUUCCCGAUUUGUUGGGAGGCAAAUGGUGUCUCCAAAGAAAGUACAUGUGCAGACAACAUGAAACUUUAGACUGCAGAAAAUUUCACAAGCCGUUAUCAAACUCAUGUCACAGAAGUGGUAAAGGACAUGUGUGACAGCUGAAUGGUAUUCGUUUGUAACGUUUUUGGCCAGGGGUGGGUAUUUAUUUUUUAAUUGAUAUUUGAGGUUGGGUAAUCAAUUUUUUUACUUUUUA